CGGACGGGUGAGUAAUGCCUAGGAAUCUGCCUGGUAGUGGGGGACAACGUUUCGAAAGGAACGCUAAUACCGCAUACGUCCUACGGGAGAAAGCAGGGGACCUUCGGGCCUUGCGCUAUCAGAUGAGCCUAGGUCGGAUUAGCUAGUUGGUGAGGUAAUGGCUCACCAAGGCGACGAUCCGUAACUGGUCUGAGAGGAUGAUCAGUCACACUGGAACUGAGACACGGUCCAGACUCCUACGGGAGGCAGCAGUGGGGAAUAUUGGACAAUGGGCGAAAGCCUGAUCCAGCCAUGCCGCGUGUGUGAAGAAGGUCUUCGGAUUGUAAAGCACUUUAAGUUGGGAGGAAGGGUUGUAGAUUAAUACUCUGCAAUUUUGACGUUACCGACAGAAUAAGCACCGGCUAACUCUGUGCCAGCAGCCGCGGUAAUACAGAGGGUGCAAGCGUUAAUCGGAAUUACUGGGCGUAAAGCGCGCGUAGGUGGUUCGUUAAGUUGGAUGUGAAAUCCCCGGGCUCAACCUGGGAACUGCAUCCAAAACUGGCGAGCUAGAGUAUGGUAGAGGGUGGUGGAAUUUCCUGUGUAGCGGUGAAAUGCGUAGAUAUAGGAAGGAACACCAGUGGCGAAGGCGACCACCUGGACUGAUACUGACACUGAGGUGCGAAAGCGUGGGGAGCAAACAGGAUUAGAUACCCUGGUAGUCCACGCCGUAAACGAUGUCAACUAGCCGUUGGGAGCCUUGAGCUCUUAGUGGCGCAGCUAACGCAUUAAGUUGACCGCCUGGGGAGUACGGCCGCAAGGUUAAAACUCAAAUGAAUUGACGGGGGCCCGCACAAGCGGUGGAGCAUGUGGUUUAAUUCGAAG
rnacentral:rRNA from 1 species